rnacentral:rRNA from 1 species
UCCAGACUCCUACGGGAGGCAGCAGUGGGGAAUAUUGGGCAAUGGAGGAAACUCUUACCCAGCAAUGCCGCGUGAAUGAAGAAGGUCUUCGGAUUGUAAAGUUCUUUAAUUGGGGACGAAAAAAAUGACGGUACCCAAGGAAUAAGCCCCAGCUAACUACGUGCCAGCAGCCGCGGUCAUACGUAGGAUCCGAGCAUUAUCCGGAGUGACUGGGUGUAAAGAGUUGCGUAGGUGGCAUAAUAAGUAGCUAGUGAAAUCUGGUGGCUCAACCAUUCAGACUAUUAGCUAAACUGUUAAGCUCGAGACCGUUAGGGGUAACUGGAAUUUCUAGUGUAGGAGUGAAAUCCGUAGAUAUUAGAAGGAACACCAAUAGCGUAGGCAGGUUGCUGGGACGGUUCUGACACUAAGGCACGAAAGCGUAGGGAGCAAACGGGAUUAGAUACCCUGGUACCC